rnacentral:rRNA from 1 species
GACGAACGCUGGCGGCGUGCUUAACACAUGCAAGUCGAACGGCAAGGCCCUGCUUUUGUGGGGUGCUCGAGUGGCGAACGGGUGCGUAACACGUGAGUAACCUGCCCUUCACUUUGGGAUAACUUCAGGAAACUGGGCCUAAUACAGUAUAGGAGCUCCUGCUCCAUGGUGGGGGUUGGAACGUCUCGGCGGGCGGGGAUGGACGCGCGGCUUAUCAGCUUGCUGGUGGGGUAGUGGCUUACCAAGGCUUUGACGGGUAGCCGGCAUGAGAGGGUGAACGGCCACAUUGGGACUGAGAUACGGCCCAGACUCCUACAGGAGGCAGCAGGGGGGAAUAUUGCACAAUGGGCGGAAGCCUGAUGCAGCAACGCCGCGGGCGGGAUGACGGCCUUCUGGGUGUGAACCGCUUUCGCCUGUGACGAAGCGGGAGUGACGGUAAUGGGUAAAGAAGCACCGGCUAACUACGUG